rnacentral:rRNA from 1 species
CCUACGGGAGGCUGCAGUGGGGGAUAUUGCACAAUGGGGGGAACCCUGAUGCAGCGACGCCGCGUGGGUGAAGAAGCGCCUCGGCGCGUAAAGCUCUGUCAGCAGGGAAGAAAAUGACGGUACCUGAAGACGAAGCCCCGGCUAACUACGUGCCAGCAGCCGCGGUAAUACGUAGGGGUCACGCGUUAUCCGGAUUUACUGGGUGUAAAGGGAGCGCAGACGGCGAUGCAAGCAAGGAGUGAACGCCCGGGGCCCAACCCCGGGACUGCUGGUGGACCUGCGUGGCGGGAGUGCAGGAGGGGCAGGCGGAAUGCCUGGUGUAGCGGUGAAAUGCGUAGAUAUCAGGAGGAACACCGGUGGCGAAGGCGGCCGGCUGGACUGCAACUGACGUUGAGGCCCGAAAGCGUGGGGAGCAAACAGGAUUAGAUACCCGAGUAGUC